GAACAAAGUAAUGGUUUAUUUCUAGAUGGACUUUGAAGGUCUUGCUAAUGAUCUUAGCACAAAUUCUACAAAGUCAGUGUUUUAUUCAACACCUAAAAUAAAAGACAUUUGUAAUCAGUUACCAAGCAAAGAGGGUCAGUACCAGAAAUCACACCCAAACUCAGUGAC